UGGGCCAAUGAUGAGGAGCAUGGGGUUUCUGAACGAGGACAGUGAUUAAACCCUUAUGAAAUCUGAGGACUAU
ensembl:snoRNA